UGGUUCUGGCAUCGAUGAAGAACGCAGCGAAAUGCGAUAAGUAAUGUGAAUUGCAGAAUUCAGUGAAUCAUCGAAUCUUUGAACGCACAUUGCGCCCAUUAGUAUUCUAGUGGGCAUGCCUGUUCGAGCGUCAUUUCAACCCCUAAGCACAGCUUACUGUUGGGACUCUACGGCCCCCGUAGUUCCCCAAAGCCAUUGGCGGAGUGGCAGUAGUCCUCUGAGCGUAGUAAUUCUUUAUCUCGCUUUUGUUAGGCGCUGCCCCCCCGGCCGUUAAACCCCCCAAUUUUUUCUGGUUGACCUCGGAUCAGGUAGGAAUACCCGCUGA
rnacentral:misc_RNA from 1 species